UAAACUUGGAAUUUGUGGCUGUGAGAUUGC
rnacentral:piRNA from 1 species